CCAAGCGCUUGCACUCGGUGACACGGAAUGUUGUUUACAUCUAAAAACGUGGCGACAUCAGCUGAGAUUUGCAGUGGAUUUAAAUGCAAUAACCACACAAUCUAUAAAGAAAAUAGGGAUAAAAUAAGAGACAAGGCAUUGCUUCUCCAUUUUACAAGAAUAUGAGGACAUUAUUUCGGAAAAUAGCAGAAAACUGAGACGAUUUGCACCAGCUCUAGCUCAGUAGAUCAACCACUGCACUGUAAUUCCAGCUGUCCAGAGUUUCAGGCUUAAAGAGUGAAUAAAUAAAAAAAUGCAUCAUUUCUCCACAGGGCCUAGCUAUUCCCAGAUGUUGGACAAAUGGAUUCAUUCAGGCAGCAAGUUAAUCCAUCAUUUAAGGAAAAUGAAUUCAUUUUAUCCACAAGAACAUGAGGUGAUGGAAAUAAUUUGCACCUGCCCAGCAUUCCUACAGUCUGUCAUUGGAUUUGAAAAGAAAUGUUUAUUUAAUAAAUUUUCUAGAUAAAUAAUAAUUUGACUUUUUC